rnacentral:rRNA from 1 species
ACGAGGGGGGCAAGCGUUGUUCGGAAUUAUUGGGCGUAAAGGGCGCGUAGGCGGUGCGGUAAGUCACCUGUGAAAUCUCCGGGCUUAACUCGGAGCCUGCAGGCGAAACUGCCGUGCUUGAGUGUGGGAGAGGUGCGUGGAAUUCCCGGUGUAGCGGUGAAAUGCGUAGAUAUCUGGAGGAACACCGGUGGCGAAGGCGACAUCCUGGACCGGCAUUGACGCUGAGGCGCGAAAGCCAGGGGAGCAAACGGGA